rnacentral:rRNA from 1 species
AGAGUUUGAUCCUGGCUCAGGAUAAACGCUGGCGGCGUGCCUAAUACAUGCAAGUCGAACGAGAAACUUCUGGUACUUGUAUCGGUUGUUUUCUAGUGGCGAACGGGUGAGUAACGCGUUGGUGACCUACCCCAAAGUGGGGGAUAACAGAUCGAAAGAUCUGCUAAUACCCCAUGUUGUCAUCGUUUUUAGAAAUCGAUGAUUAAAGGAGCAAUUCGCUUUGGGAGGGGCCUGCGUCCCAUCAGCUAGUUGGUAAGGUAAUGGCUUACCAAGGCUACGACGGGUAAGGGACCUGAGAGGGUGGCCCCUCACAAUGGAACUGAAACACGGUCCAUACACCUACGGGUGGCAGCAGUAGGGAAUAUUGCACAAUGGACGAAAGUCUGAUGCAGCAACGCCGCGUGUACGAUGAAGGUCUUCGGAUUGUAAAGUACUUUUCAGGGAGAUGAGAAAGGACAGUACCCCUGGAAUAAGUCUCGGCUAACUACGUGCCAGCAGCCGCGGUAACACGUAGGAGGCGAGCGUUAUCCGGAUUUACUGGGUGUAAAGCGCGUGCAGGCGGUUUGAUAAGUUGGAUGUGAAAGCUCCUGGCUUAACUGGGAGAGGUCGUUCAAAACUAUCAGACUAGAGAAUGGUAGAGGAAGAUGGAAUUCCCGGUGUAGUGGUGAAAUGCGUAGAUAUCGGGAGGAACACCAGUGGCGAAGGCGGUCUUCUGGCCCAUUUCUGACGCUAAGACGCGAAGGCUAGGGUAGCAAACGGGAUUAGAGACCCCGGUAGUCCUAGCAGUAAACGAUGUGAACUUGGCGUUGGUGGUGUAAAAACCAUCAGUGCCGUAGCUAACGCGAUAAGUUCACCACCUGGGAACUACGGCCGCAAGGUUAAAACUCAAAGGAAUUGACGGGUCCCCGCACAAGCAGCGGAGCGUGUGGCUUAAUUCGAUAUUACACGAAGAACCUUACCCGGGUUUGACAUGCAAGUGUAGUGAAGCGAAAGCGGAACGACCCUUCGGGGAGCUUGCACAGGUGCUGCAUGGCUGUCGUCAGCUCGUGUCGUGAGAUGUCCGGUUAAGUCCGGUAACGAGCGCAACCCUCGCUGUAUGUUAUAAGUGUCAUACGGGACCGCCGGUAUCAAGCCGGAGGAAGGUGGGGAUGACGUCAAGUCAGCAUGGCCUUUAUAUCCGGGGCUACACACACGCUACAAUGGCCGGUACAAUAGGUUGCGAAACCGCGAGGUGGAGCCAAUCCUUCAAAGCCGGUCUCAGUUCAGAUCGCAGGCUGCAACUCGCCUGCGUGAAGUCG